rnacentral:rRNA from 1 species
UACCACGGGUUAAUAACCUAUGGGGCUGACGGUACCUGAGGAAUAAGCACCGGCUAACUUCGUGCCAGCAGCCGCGGUAAUACGAAGGGUGCAAGCGUUAAUCGGAAUUACUGGGCGUAAAGGGUGCGUAGGCGGUUGGUUAAGUCUGUCGUGAAAUCCCCGGGCUCAACCUGGGAAUGGCGAUGGAUACUGGCGAGCUAGAGUGUGUCAGAGGAUGGUGGAAUUUCCGGUGUAGCGGUGAAAUGCGUAGAGAUCGGAAGGAACAUCAGUGGCGAAGGCGGCCAUCUGGGACAACACUGACGCUGAAGCACGAAAGCGUGGGGAGCAAACAGGAUUAGAUACCCUGGUAGUCCACGCCCUAAACGAUGCGAACUGGAUGUUGGUCUCAACUCGGAGAUCAGUGUCGAAGCUAACGCGUUAAGUUCGCCGCCUGGGGAGUACGGUCGCAAGACUGAAACUCA